CGUGUAGGCGGCCUGGAAGGUCAGCUGUGAAAACUCGAGGCUCAACCUCGAGACGUCGGUUGAAACCACCUGGCUAGAGUCCGGAAGAGGAGAGUGGAAUUCCCGGUGUAGCGGUGAAAUGCGCAGAUAUCGGGAAGAACACCCGUGGCGAAGGCGGCUCUCUGGGACGGUACUGACGCUGAGACGCGAAAGCGUGGGGAGCGAACAGGAUUAGAUACCCUGGUAGUCCACGCCGUAAACGAUGGGUGCUAGGUGUGGGGGGUGUCGACUCCCUCCGUGCCGAAGCUAACGCAUUAAGCACCCCGCCUGGGGAGUACGGCCGCAAGGCUAAA
rnacentral:rRNA from 1 species